rnacentral:lncRNA from 1 species
GUGAUAAGUCAUUGAGCAGCCUGGAUGGUUUUUCGUUGUGUACAUCUCUUGUCUCUGGUUCAGGAAGUUGUGGGUUGGUAACAUUCAUGGAUUUUUAUAUAUAUAGAUUAGACUGUUGGUUUUCCCAUUUGAAUGGUAUAACAAUGGUAAUUUAUAUCUAUUUAAAUAAUUUUGUAUUAUCUUGAUUGUUUUAAUUCUUCAGCAAGAAGAAAACCAUGUCGCCCUGAAGUACUCUUCCAAAAAGAGCUGGCUAGAAUCAAGUUAAUUUAAAGAAGAAAUUCCACUGGUUUCUUGAGGAAAAAGGAGUAUGUAUCUAAAUUGUAAGCAAAUUCUAAAAACAAUUUUUGUUCAUGUCAGACAAGUAUAAGCCAUUAUUUAGACAGUCCACUUAUUUUAAGGACUAGACUAGCAGGGAUGUAUGUCAUUAGAAGCCAGCAACCGGUUUGGCACCGGCUACUUCAAAAUUGUCAAAAAUAAUAUUUUCUAGUGGAUGAAACAUUGAUCAUGAAAGAAAUUUAUAGAUAAACGAUUCAUUCUCUGAAGAACAAAGAUUGAAGCAUUGACUUAACAGUGUGAGGCAGAUUAUUUCAUAAAAAGGCAACUUUUUAUCACUUCUGCAACUUCCGGUACUUGUUACACGAGAAGCAUAUAUGAAUCGAAAGUUUCGGCUGCAAAAUAAGUCCUUCAACACGGAGCAAAAAAUACUCUCACCUCACUGCAAGUUAUGUAUCUUUACAACCUUUAUGCAAGUGGGGGCAUUAUAUGUGUCCCAUGGACAUGUUCUCCAUUUAUUUCAACGAAAUUUGGUAGACAUGUUCUUUAUAUAGUUGUUUAAAGUAGGUGAAAAUAUAUAAAUGGUAAUUUUUUUAUUUCAGAAUUGAUGAGACUAUGACAGUUGAUGUGUACUAUCCAAACUGAUGGUUUAUCUGAAGAAGAGACAACAGUACUCCUUGUAAGUCCAAAUUCUAUAUAGUGGUUCAUAUUGAGGCUAAAUUGGAAAGGGUUCAUAUUAAUGAGAACUGCAUAUAAUUUUUAUUUCACCUCAACAAAAGUUGCUAUAGCUAGACUUCAGCAUGCUGUUAUUAAAUGUAACUACAUUCAUCCAGGCCCGUAGCCAGGAAUUUCCAUGGGGUUAUUUGGACUCUGACAUGAACUCGACUUAAACAGUCACAAUUUGAACCAAUCGUUGACUUUAACAGUGCAUAUUUGGCUACGGGUAUGCCAGCAACAUUCUGUGUCAUAAUUUUUUUUAGGUUACUGAUUAGAAGUUUAUUUAAUGUAGAAAUUAUUGCCAAAAAAUGUGACAGUAUCAGGUUCUCCAUAAUUUUUGCCUUCAUCAAUCAAUAUUGAUCAUCCUUUAUGUGAAUGUUGCAUCACAUUAAUAAGAUUUUGAUUAAUAAGAAUGUGGUAUGAUUGCCAAUAAGACAAUUCUCUACAAGAGACCAAAUGACAAAGAAAUUAACAACUAUAGGUCACCGUAGGCGUACAGCCUUCAACAAUGAGCAAAGCCUAUACCUCUUAGUCCGCUAUAAAAGGCCCUGAAAUGACAAAUGUAAAAGAAUUCAAACAAGAAAACUAAGGGCCUAUUUAAGUACAAAAAAUGAACGAAAAAAAUAUGUAACACAUCAACAAACGACAACCCUUGAAUUACAGGCUUCUGACUUGCAGUUUUGUCAGUGGUCAAUAUAUGCACAUAUUCAUUUUUGAAUAUACCGUAUGAGUCGCAAUGAGAAAACUAUCCACCAGAGACAAAAAUGCACAUUCAACAAGGAGAAAACCAAUAUCAUUCAUAUAGUCAGCUAUUAAAGUAGGUCUGACAUGAUUUGGUAAAAUGUAAAACAAUUUAAGCAAAAAACUAUAAGCCUGAUUUAUUACAAAAAUUUAGCAAAUACAAAUAAGUCAGUUACCAAUAACAACCACUGAAUUAAAGGCUUUUGACUAGAGACAGGCACAUAAAUAUUGUGACUGGGUAAAACAUUAUAGGAUUAAACACAUUUUUUCUAGAGGUUAUUGAUGUGUAAACCGGGGCGAUUUACUCACAAACUGAAUAAAAGUCCGAAGGACUUUUAUGUAAAGUUUGUGAGUAAGAGACCCGGUUUACACAUCAAUAACCUCUAGAAAAAAAUGUGUUUAAUUCUUAUAAUUCUUCAGCCAAACAUACGCCAUUUUUAAUUUACAUUAUUUGGUUGACGGCUACUAUAUUUACCAUCAAAAGCACAAUGGCAUGUCGUAACUAAGGAGUACGCCGCCAUCUUGACUUUCUAAAAACCAUAAAUGUCCGAUAAAUGCAACUGAAUCUAAAAUGAAAUAGCACCUACCUCAAAAACUUCAUUUUAAUUAGAUAUUAUCCGAAUGUGAAGCGUACAAGUUACGAAAUGAUCUUUCCCUUGAAAACUUUCAUUCGUGUGACGUCGUGUUUUGCCAUGACUUAAAUUCGCCAAAUCCUUCAUGAAAUUUCGCGGAAUUUUAUUAAAAUUUUAUUUUUAUUCAUUUUCGAAGCUUUAAAGGGUAUUUAUUUAUUUAUUUUAUUUCUUUUUUUUUUGUUAUAUAUGUAUUAGAAUAGAAACAACUGGUAUGUAAUUGUUUUAUAACUUAAGUCUCAAUUUGCUGAAAAUACCAGUAUCCUAGCAAGAAUGUGCAUCGCGCAUGAAUAGAUUACGAAAGUAGUUUCGGAAACAUGGUUUAUCGAAGUGUAAACCAAGAUAAAUAUUCUAAUUGACCAAUCCAAUUCAAGUAUUUAUAGAUAUGCAAAUGAUAUAAGAAUUAUGUUUUUAUACGACCGCAAAAAAAAGAGUUUAUGGUCCGUUUAUUGGUAUCACGUCGUCGUCGUCGUCAACCGAAUAAAUUUGGUUUUUGCACUAUAACUUUACUUAAGGAUAAGUAACAAAAAUUGAAUAUAUUGGGUUCUUCGAUAUGCUGAAUCUAACCAUGGAUUUAGAUUUUUAAUAUUUGUCCCUGGUUAUCAAUUUGGUCCACAUUGUUUGGUCUGUGUGUCCGUUCAUUUGUUGUUCGUCAUUUUCUCUGUUCCCAUGUUUUACCAUCCUUCUGUCCCUCUUCAGGUUAAAGUCUUUGGUCAAGGUAGUUUUUGAUGAAGUUGAAUCAAUUGAACUUACUACACAUGUUCCCUAUGAUAUGAUCUUUUUUAACUUUAAUGACCUUUAAUGCCAAGCUAAGAGUUUUUACUCCAACUUCACAGCCAACUGAACAUAGAAAAUGAUAGUGCAAGUGGGGCACCAAUGUACUAUGUGUUCAUGCUAAUGCAAAAACAAGAUUAACUAUUUUUUUCUAAAAUAUUUGAUAAGUGGAGUGAGAAUUUAAUUUUAUUAUUGUUAUAUAUUCAGGUAUGCUGAAAAAAAAGUACCAGGGAAUGAAAACAGAAGCAAAGGGAUGAAGUCACAGAUAUUGACAGUUCUGAUUUACAUUAAAUUCAAGGAGUGGUCACAGCUUAGAAAAGUUUUAAACUAGUUAGAUGUAGGGACCAAAGAAGAUAACAUCUUUUCUCGGAAUUAUCUUUAAUGAAGAUUUACACUGAAAUUAUGAUUGAAAUUUAAUUAUGAAUUUGUUUUGCAUUGGAAUAGAGAUAAAUGUAUUGCGUCGCCAGGUAAACUAAAUUUCCAACAGUAAAACUACCAAUGGACGUCCUUAAAGCUUCAAAAACAAUACAGUUAUCUCUUAAAUGUCGGAUUAAUUUUGCAAAUACAAAAAAAAUCUUUUAAAAAUUAUAAAAGAAAAGGUUCAAUUGUAGACUAUAACUUG